CUUGAACGCUGGCGGAAUGCUUUACACAUGCAAGUCGAACGGCAGCACGGGGGCAGCUCUGGUGGCGAGUGGCGAACGGGUGAGUAAUACAUCGGAACGUGCCCGGUCGUGGGGGAUAACGUAGCGAAAGUUACGCUACUACCGCAUACGAUCUGAGGAUGAAAGCGGGGGACCUUCGGGCCUCGCGCGAUCGGAGCGGCCGAUGUCAGAUUAGGUAGUUGGUGGGGUAAAGGCCUACCAAGCCGACGAUCUGUAGCUGGUCUGAGAGGACGACCAGCCACACUGGGACUGAGACACGGCCCAGACUCCUACGGGAGGCAGCAGUGGGGAAUUUUGGACAAUGGGCGCAAGCCUGAUCCAGCCAUUCCGCGUGCAGGACGAAGGCCUUCGGGUUGUAAACUGCUUUUGUACGGAACGAAAAGGCUCUGGCUAAUACCUGGGGCUCAUGACGGUACCGUAAGAAUAAGCACCGGCUAACUACGUG
rnacentral:rRNA from 1 species